rnacentral:lncRNA from 1 species
AAAAAAAAAAAAAAAAUUGAAAAUAGUUAGACGCACGGUAAGAGAAGCGUAAGCGCAAUGCAGCUUGUGGAAAUUUCUCUUAUUAGCGGCGAGAGCCGAGGAAAGGGAAGAGAAAACGUCGCGUUGCACCUUUUAAACCCCUGACAACGUCGGAUAUACACAAGGUGUACAUACCGCACGACGUAUCGGAAGACGGGGAUUGGAAGCCCCGUGUAUAAUGCAUUCCAGCCAGCAUAACGAAGAUUGAAAUUGUUCGAAAAUAGGAUCAAGAUUGAUCUCAACCAUCGGACAUUUACAGGGUAGCCGAUAUCGCUGAGUGAUAUAAGGUAUAUGUAAGCUGAGCGAUAUGCAGUCGCGGAAUCACAGCGUUGUGCUAAAAAUUUCAUCCAACGACGAAGACGACGAUGCGGAUAUGCUCCAAUAUCCAUGCGCAGACUUUUAUCGAACGAGGAAGAAUUUUCAACCUGACGAAAAUUUCAUGCAGAUGUAAAAAGGAUUGAUUAACGCGAGAUAAUGUGGAUCGAAUAAUCGUGUGCGAUUAUACACGAUAUAUAAGUAUAUAAUAAAUACUUAAACCUUGUUGUAUCGUAAUUAUGUACAUAUUAUUACGGCGAUGAUGUAUUAUAAUAGGCAGCAGAGAUUAAAGUGAUACGACAAAGAGCGUUCG